GCUGGUGUGGCGAAACUGGUAAACGCAGAGACCUCUCAAGUCUCUGGGCGAAGGCCCUUGCGGGUUCGAGUCCCGUCACCGGCGCCG
rnacentral:tRNA from 1 species